CGUGCUAAUCUGCGAUAAGCGCCGGUAAGGUGAUAUGAACCGUUAUAACCGGCGAUACCCGAAUGGGGAAACCCAGUGUGACUCGUCACACUAUCAUUAACUGAAUCCAUAGGUUAAUGAGGCGAACCGGGGGAACUGAAACAUCUAAGUACCCCGAGGAAAAGAAAUCAACCGAGAUUCCCCCAGUAGCGGCGAGCGAACGGGGAGGAGCCCAGAGCCUGAAUCAGCAUGUGUGUUAGUGGAAGCGUCUGGAAAGGCGCGCGAUACAGGGUGACAGCCCCGUACACAAAAGCGCAUGUGCUGUGAGCUCGAUGAGUAGGGCGGGACACGUGGUAUCCUGUCUGAAUAUGGGGGGACCAUCCUCCAAGGCUAAAUACUCCUGACUGACCGAUAGUGAACCAGUACCGUGAGGGAAAGGCGAAAAGAACCCCGGCGAGGGGAGUGAAAAAGAACCUGAAACCGU
rnacentral:rRNA from 9 species